ensembl:lncRNA
AAAAGACUGUGAACGAGGAGCAACCUGAAAAACCGGACUGUCGGGGCGCCUGGGUGGCGCAGUCGGUUGAGCGUCCGACUUCAGCCAGGUCACGAUCUCGCGGUCCGUGAGUUCGAGCCCCGCGUCGGGCUCUGGGCUGAUGGCUCGGAGCCUGGAGCCUGUUUCCGGUUCUGCGUCUCCCUCUCUCUCUGCCCCUCCCCUGUUCAUGCUCUGUCUCUCUCUGUCCCAAAAAUAAAUAAACGUUGAAAAAAAAAUUAAAAAAAAAAAAAAAAACCGGAUUGUUACACAGAUGAAGUCACCAAUCAAAAAAAAAUCCUGAAAUGGCUCAUUGCUUUGGUCUCCUGUGUUUAUGCCACAGCUCAGCCAAGGGCUGAUGCACACAAUUUUCUUCACAUGCCAACGCGACACCUCGAAGUAUACCUGAAAAUAAAAAUAGAGAAGCCUUCGAAAAUUCCCUGUCCAUGGCAAGGUAGGAGUAUGUGGUAAAAGACAUCUGGGGUUGCCAUGAUGUCCUCAGCAGUCCGAUGAGAAUCACGCCCGUCUUUAAAACAUCUGGCUCUCUCCCCUGUCCCCUUUACGGAGAUGUUGCUGGGAUAGACAGAGACAAUUUCAGGAAGGUUUGGGGCUCAGGAGGACAUCAAUGCGACGCAUUGUUUUUGCACGGUCUGGCUGGAGGGUGUAGCACAAAGUAAAAUCAAGACCUCCUCUUUCAUUGUGAAGCACAGUUGGGCUGUUUGAUCUCUUAAGUCCUCGGGUAAUUGGAGUCUACACAGCAUGUGGAAUCGGGGCCUGAGCGGCUCGCCCGCCUGCCCAAAGCCCGCCGCAGACCCGCCUGGGGCACCAUUUACCCCCGGCCAGAUCCAGCCUGCAUUCACGGUUUUCUGCCUGGACACGGGCAGCGAUCCUGAGCUGAGAAAACGAAGAGGUGGGGAUUUUAAAUGCCAGAACUGCUGUUCGUUACCAGGUACACAGAGGUAGCCAGAAACUCCCCGAGGUCUGGGGGCACAUCACAUUCCACGACCCUCUCCCCAUGUCCUGAUCCAGCUUCACCACCACAGACCGGUGUUUCACACAGGAUUGCCGUGACAUCCACCCGCCCGCCCAGAUCGCCCUGCGCUCUUCCUCCCCAGGCCCAUCAGGUAUCUAGAGGAGGGAAUGCCGACACUGGCUGGUCUCCCCGCCCCUCUCGGGCCCCACUGGCUUGCAAAGGGGCUUCAAGGACCUGAUUUACACACCUCAGCUCAUUUGCAAGGUCAGGAGCCAAAAGCAAGCAGGAGAAAAAAGGCAUACGCCAAAGAAAAGUGACUGAGUCAUUAGACUGCUGGAGGGCGGGCAUCCGAAUUCCUCCUUUCACACAGACCCAGAGGACAGGUGACCGUUCCAAAGCCCCACAGUGGCCGGAUACAGCCAGGAAUGGAACCCGGGGCUGCUGACCUCUAUGUGCAAAAUGCCUCACAGGAGCUGCUUUUCGGAGUUAAACACCUCUGUGUUUAAACCCAUCCAUUCAUUUGUUCAUUCAGCAGGUAACGGGCAGCUGGCCCACAGUUGGACCAGCUCUAGACCCACAGAGAUGUAUUUUAGAAAACCAGGGACCCACAGGCACAGGCUUCAACUCCUUGAAAGACCCACAGGAGAGACCGAACUCUGUGGUUUGCAGCUGAAGCUCCUUCCCGAGACAUCUUCCCUGUGCGGUCCCUGGUAACAGUUGUCCCUCCUCAGACAAGAGCUUGGGGUUGGGCUAGAUGCUAAGGGCAGUAAAUAAGCAACAGAUCUCCUUUACAUCACUCUGGUCCCAGAGUAGAGGCGGAUCCCAGGCAGAACUUCUGAUGGGUGGCUUGCAGCCAGAACUGUGCUCAGAGGACCACUCCUCAAGAAAAAGCGAGGACUGAUAGGAGACGUCGCUCCUCGCCGUAACCCCAGGGUCGUGGAGGGUGUCGCAGUUGCCGUGGCCCAGCACCAGGUGAGGAGUCCACUCCUAGGGCUCCUCUGCUGCCCUGUGCUGUGGUCUGCAGGGAUGGCACAAGCUUACUUGGAGGGCAUGAGUUUUCACCGUGCCUACACAUUUAAAUUGUGUUGCAGACAGCGGAAAAAGCAUAAGACAAGCUGUGUACAUUUUCUGGGGCUGCUGUAACAAAUUCUCACAAACCGGGUGUCUUGAAACGCCAGAAACUUAUUCUCUCAGGGUUCAGAGACUGAAAAUCCAGAAUUAAUGUGGCAGCGGGUCCG